rnacentral:rRNA from 1 species
UAGGGAAUCUUCCGCAAUGGGCGAAAGCCUGACGGAGCAACGCCGCGUGAGUGAUGAAGGUUUUCGGAUCGUAAAGCUCUGUUGUUAAGGAAGAACGAGUGUGAGAAUGGAAAGUUCAUACUGUGACGGUACUUAACCAGAAAGGGACGGCUAACUACGUGCCAGCAGCCGCGGUAAUACGUAGGUCCCGAGCGUUGUCCGGAUUUAUUGGGCGUAAAGCGAGCGCAGGCGGUUAGAUAAGUCUGAAGUUAAAGGCAGUGGCUCAACCAUUGUAGGCUUUGGAAACUGUUUAACUUGAGUGCAGAAGGGGAGAGUGGAAUUCCAUGUGUAGCGGUGAAAUGCGUAGAUAUAUGGAGGAACACCGGCGGCGAAAGCGGUUCUCUGGUCUGUAACUGACGCUGAGGCUCGAAAGCGUGGGGAGCGAACAGG